AGGCCAGUCAUGACACAGGUGUGGUCCAUCAAGUGAGGUGAUGGCCAGCAUCAGUUUACAGACAGGAGUGACUGGGGUGUGUGGGUAUUUGAUUUAGCCUAUAGAUUUACCAAGCUCAGUUCCAAGGAGAGACACAGUCGUAAAAAGACCUUGAAGACACAACCCACCAAUCACAGACUUCAGUCAACCUCAUCCUGAGUCUACCCACCAAUGUCUACGUCCUGUGGCUGAUACUGACCGGAGCCGGAGGGACGGUGGCCUCAGAGUUCUUCGCUCUCAACUUGGCUGUAUCUGAGAUCCUCUACUGCCUGUGUGCUGUCUUUGUCUUUGUCUACAUACACCUCCCUAUUCCCCCUAUAUCAACUGUAAUUUCAUUCUUUAAUGGUUUUAUAUACCACGGCCGCCCCCUGUUCCAGUGCUGUAUAUGUUUUGAGCGCUACCUGGCAGUUGUCCACCCUGUGGUCUUCCUGAAGUACAGACCCCUGAGGUACAAGGUGGGGUGCUCUGGAUUGGUUUGCCUGGUUUUGUUUGGGUUCGGUUUAACUUCUACGAUUGUAAAAGACCACCAAAUUUACAGAUAUGUGUAUGUGGGUGAAGUUCUGGUCUUACUUUUAUUUAUGUUAUUCUGCUGCCUGUCAGUUCUCAGGGCUCUGAAACAGCCUGGGCCGGGGGAAGGGGAGAGAGAGCGGGAGGGGACAAAUAACAUGAAGAUGAGGGCGUUUAAGAUCAUUUUGAUAACCUUGGUGUCUAUGAUGACAAACUACCUUCCAUGGCUAGUGGUUUUACCUUUUAAUGAAAUCUUAGAUCUACGUCAUUUUUUUUAUGCCAGAUAUGUGUGUAUCUACAUCAGUGUGGUCUGUGGGUUUGUGCAGCCCCUCCUCUACCUCCACCGGGCUGGGAAACUGCCCUUUAUCAAAGGUCUCUGAGUGAGAGUUUAUAUUCCCAGAUUCAUCAGAUACAGAGGGCCAAUUGUAACCUGUUUACAACUGUUAUGUGAUAGCUUGUAAAGAGGUUGGUAGUUGUAGAUGCACUGGCAAAAUAUGUUUUUGUUUAGUUUUGCAAUAUUCUGGUAACUUGACCUAAAAGGUUCUCCAGAAAUCCUGGUCAGAAGAUUCCAGUAAUCAGGAGGAAGGAAAUCCAGAAUUUUUCAUUCCUAGGUUUGAUUCAUUACCUUUCAUCUGGGAAGAUUGCUUAUCAAUCUUCUUGCUAGUGCUUCACAUUGUGUCUUUGUGUUUAAUAGUGAGAUAGGACUAGAAGGCCCACAUAAUUUUUUUUUUGUUUUUAAAUAUUUAAUAAAUGUUUGUGUUGAACUAUUCAUGUCUUUUACUUUUUGUAGAGCAUUAGUUUUUUUAAACUCUUAGCGGUCUUUGCAUGCACAUUUGGGACUCUAAGAUAGGUUUGAGUCCAGUCAGAGUAAACAGGCUAUUUGCAUGUCAGGUCAAGGGAAAUAUGAUAUACGACUGCAGGCAGGGGGUCAGACACUCCUCUUUUUGGUGCUCUGGUCUGUGUCCAAAAUGGCACCCUAUACCAUAUAAAAGGGCUCUUGUCAGAAGAUGUGCACUAUAUAGGGAAUGUGGAGACAUUUUGGACGCACAUUGAUUAAAUAAUCAGUGUGACGUAACACACAGGUGGGGCAGGGAAGAGUCGGGUAAAGCAGAGAUUUGGAUCAGGUCCAGCGUCUGUGACAAGCACAACCGCAACACACCCCAGGGGACAGGGACGCUGCAUCAAUACAGGUUACCAAAAAGUUUUUUUUUUCGUUACAAUUUGAAUUUAAACCACAAUUGAAUAAAAACAAACUGUUGUAAAAUAUAUUAUUAAGAAUUUUAUCUCCACUUAAUCACAAGCAACUUUUACCAGUUGAAUGUAGACAAAAUAUAAUACUUUUCUGGACACUAGAUUGUCAAACUUAAUAUUUUAGUUUCAUUUUGAUAUUCCAGGACAGGAAUAACUCAGGGCAGAUUGUGGAUGAAUACUUUUUUCUUCUUUCUAUCUGUAAAAUGCUUAAGAAUGCCUUUUUGACCAUUUUUUUUAAAGAAAAGUUUAUACAGAAUAAAAAAUGUACAACAUAUCAGUAAAUCCCCAUGGACAAGUCUCUGGAAUAUAUUGAAGAAUAGCCACACAAUGUCGUUUAUGCAGAUGCUUCUGAAACUGAGAAAAGUGACUUGGCGUGAUGGAAGAGUUUGACGUUCGGGAAAUGGCUACGACACGACAAACACAUUUUUAGACCCAAUCGCCAUCUCAUCAAACAAAGUUACUACAUACAGUAAAGUCCAGUGUGUUCCAUUCUUUGUGAAAUGGGCAUUUAAAUUUUGUGCAAUUCGAUGUAGUGAGCUUUGGAAUUAUGGAUGCAUGUACAUUUUAAAGUGGUUCAUAUUCAUGAAAUUCUUACGACACUGGUAUGAUAAAUGAAUGAAAAUAUACAUUUUUUUCAAGACUUUGACAUUUUUAUGUUUAUUUAGGGCAAUACGUGAAGAUUAUUAAAGAGCAAUGAUAGUAGCAAGAGCAGUGUUCGGGUUUCUUCAUUGUUCUCAUGUUACUUUUUGAAAAUACUAAUAUUAACGGACCACAUGUCACGCCAUGACA